UGCAUCGGCCGGGAAUCGAACCCGGGGCCGCCCGCGUGGCAGGCGAGCAUUCUACCACUAAACCACCGAUGG
rnacentral:tRNA from 1 species